CAUUAUUAUUACAAAAUUACGUUGACUGUUAAUGAUCCUAAAUCCAUUGGAUGUUGCAGGUGUACUUAUUGAUAUGUUAGUCUUAGAUACAUGAUUAUUUUAGAAGAUUUUGUUGGCUUAAAACUUGCUGUCAGUAACUGCGAUUACUCUCAGAUCUAUAAUUAGUGUCUUUUUGUUGUGGGAAUGUAUGAGUACACUGCCACGACGACUAUGUGUUCUUGGAAGAUGUAUUUCUAUUUGUAUCCAUCUGAUGAUUUAAGCCCUUUCAACGGAUUUCAUACAUUGCUGUUGCUCCACUGUUCCAUUUUAUGGAAAGGUAAGGCUCUCGACACCCUUAGAAACAAUUGUUAUUUUUCUUCUUUCUAUCCUUCGUCGAUUUAUGAAUUUAAUUGCAUUUCCUAUUCUUAUGUUGUAACCAUGUGUAUAAAACGAACUAAAUAAUUGAUUCGGAACUUCUUAUCCAAAGAAUACUCCUGACAAAUAAUAUAUAUUUCCGUCUUGUUAAACGUAUUUGUAGUGAUAAAGUUUUGAAUACCUAAGAGAGUAAACAUGGUAUGAAAACUACUUAUUGAAAGUGCCUAACCGCUUCUAAGAAAAGGAAACACUUAAUCAAUAAAUCUAAAUUAUUUAAAUAUUAAAGAAGUUUUCUAUAUCUAUGUCUCAAUACAAAACACAUCAGAGAGAUUAUAUCUUUUGUAUAACAGAGUUAAAUCAGACACUUUAUUGAAUAGUAUAAAUGUUACUACACACGCUCACAACACCAAUACGGACAUACAUAUAUCAAAGAUACAAAACCGUGAUUAAAAUGCAACACACACAGAAACAAACUAUAAUAUAACAAUGGCUAUUUUCCUGACUUGGUAGAGGAAAAAAAUAUGGUGGGUUGAACCUGGUUUUGUGGCAUGCCAAAUCUCCCGCUUUUGUGGCAAUAUUAAAUAUAACAUUAAAAAGUCAACAUUACAUGGCAGGACUACAAUACAAAUAAAUGGGAGAACAUAUAGGACAGAGAAACACACGAAUAAUAGCUAACGAAAAGAGGACCGGAAAACUGGAACAUUCAGUCGGUAGUCAUCUUUGACGAUUAUUCCAUGUGAAAGACUGCGAUAUUUUACAUCAUCGCUCCAAUGAAGAUUACGAAACAUAGCAUUACAACAUUACUGUGAAGGUAUAAACAAAACACUAUAGAAGGUAUGCAAAUAUAAAAUGAUAAUGUGAAAACACACACAAGAUCGGGAUCAAAUCGUUAUGAUAAAACAAACUGUAUCACGCAAACACGUCCUACAAUAAAGAAACGAAUAAAAUAUUUAAAGCGCGAUAAUUAGGAUAUAAAUAUUCGAUGAAAUGGUAUAGCAAGGUUAAUUUCAAAUACAAAACUCAAACCGAUGUUGCAUAACUUACGUUAAGAUACGUAAAUUCAAGAAAUUCGGAAGGUAAAAAUCCAAAAUAUAUGUUAAAUAAUUGCAAUGAGACAACAUAAGAGACCAUUGCCUCAGAAAUUGUAGGCCACCGUACGACCUUCAGCAAAACACAAAGCCCAUAUCGCAUAAUCAGCUAUAAAAUAGACCCGAAAUGACAAAAUGAAAAACAAUUCAUAUUAGAAAACUAACGGCCUAAUUUAUGUACAAGAAAAAUAAAUGAAAAUUAAAUCAGUUACACAGCAACAAACAACUAAAUUACAGGCUCCUGACUUUGGACAUUCACAUACAGAAUGUAUUUAGACAAGGUUAUAACAGUACAUCAUGAGAAAAAGUAUGCAAAUCAGUUGAAAAAGGCUUAACUCAUCAGAUUGCAUUGGUACAAACAAAAAUACAUCUAACAAAAACGAAAAGUGGAAGUGGCCAGCUACUUGUAUAUAUAUCCCAACAACAAAAAGACAAAAAGACACUAAGUACUGAUCUGACAGUACUGUGACAAAAAUGCAGUUUAGGCAUAAGACAAUAUUUAUAAUUUAUCGUUGAAUUGUUAUCUAUAAUAAA
rnacentral:lncRNA from 1 species